AUUGAACGCUGGCGGCAGGCUUAACACAUGCAAGUCGAACGAGUGGCGGACGGGUGAGUAAUGCUUGGGAAUCUCGCUUAUGGAGGGGGAUAACUACGGGAAACUGUAGCUAAUACCGCUUACCAUAGGAUGAGCCCAAGUGGGAUUAGGUCGUUGGUGGGGUAAAGGCUCACCAAGCCGACGAUCUCUAGCUGGUCUGAGAGGAUGACCAGCACAACUGGGACGGAGACACGGCCCAGACUCCUAAGGGAGGCAGCAGUGGGGAAUAUUGCGCAAUGGGGGAAACCUGACGCAGCAAUGCCGGGUGAAUGAAGAAGGCCUUCGGGUUGUAAAGUUCUUUCGGUAGCGAGGCGUUAACUACAGAAGAAGCACCGGCUAACUCCGUGCCAGCAGCCGCGGUAAUUC
rnacentral:rRNA from 1 species